rnacentral:lncRNA from 1 species
UGCCCUCCUCUGGUGGACCCAUGGCAGCUCUCUCCUCCCCAGACCGUGAAGCUCGGAUGCUGUGCCCCACGGGAGAGCCACUGCAGGGUGCCACAUUCAGCCAAAGGCUCUUCAGUUGCUGACAGUUUAGAACUUGACACACUCAGAAUUAUGGGCGCUGUGUCUCUUCCCCCUUUCUAAAGGCUGAUGGUAAAACACUCAGAGAUCACCGCCCAUUGUGCUCUGUUGCUAAGAGCUGGAUUUGCCUUUUACUCUCUGAGUCUUUCAGCUCAACAUUUUUCACCCACUAUUCCAGGAGGACCUCACGAGAACCCCCGAUAUUAGGCGGGGAAACAUGAUUAUGUGUCAUGUGUUUUCAGAUAGAUAGGAAAAGUAAGGUGGAGCGUUUUGCCGGGGGUCACAGGAGGCGCUGAGGAACCCCAACAUUCCAAAACCUCGGCGAAUCUUGCGCUCGGCCUGGGGCAGCAACCCUUACUUCCGCGGCUCCUAUUCAUACACGCAGGUGGGCUCCAGCGGGGCGGAUGUGGAGAAGCUGGCCAAGCCCCUGCCGUACACAGAGAGCUCAAAGACAGCGCCCAUGCAGGUGCUGUUUUCCGGUGAGGCCACCCACCGCAAGUACUAUUCCACCACCCACGGUGCUCUGCUGUCCGGCCAGCGUGAGGCUGCCCGCCUCAUUGAGAUGUACCGAGACCUCUUCCAGCAGGGGACCUGAGGGCUGUCCUCGCUGCUGAGAAGAGCCACUAACUCGUGACCUCCAGCCUGCCCCUUGCUGCCGUGUGCUCCUGCCUUCCUGAUCCUCUGUAGAAAGGAUUUUUAUCUUCUGUAGAGCUAGCCGCCCUGACUGCCUUCAGACCUGGCCCUGUAGCUUUUCUUUUUCUCCAGGCUGGGCCGUGAGCAGGUGGGCCGUUGAGUUACCUCUGUGCUGGAUCCCGUGCCCCCACUUGCCUACCCUCUGUCCUGCCUUGUUAUUGUAAGUGCCUUCAAUACUUUGCAUUUUGGGAUAAUAAAAAAGGCUCCCUCCCCUGCCCCUCA